rnacentral:rRNA from 1 species
CCUACGUGAGGCAGCAGUGGGGAAUAUUUGGCAAUGAGCGCAAGCCUGACCCCGCAAUGCCGCGUGAAGGAAGAAGGCUUUCGGGUUGUACACUUCUUUUACAUGGGAAGAACCGAAGACGGUACCCUGAAAACAAGCCACGGCUAACUCCGUGCCAGCAGCCGCGGUAAUACGUAGGUGGCAAUCGUUGUCCUGAUUUAAUGGGUGUAAAGGGCGUGUAGCCGGGAAGGCAAGUCAGAUGUGAAAUCCGGAGGCUUAACCUCCGAAUUGCAUUUGCAACUGUUUGUCUUGAGUACUGGAGAGGCAGACGGAAUGCCUUGUGUAGCGGUGAAAUGCGUAGAUAUAAGGAGGAACACCAGAGGCGAAGGCGGUCUGCUGGACAGCAACUGACGGUGAGGCGCGAAAGCGUGGGGAGCAAACAGGAUUAGAUACCCGUGUAGUC